UGUGCCCCUCCCCCGCAAAAAACGGCAGACUAUUUUGUACCGAAAAUUUUAGACAUGGCGUCUCCGUUGGUUAUAUCCUCUAAGACUAUAUCAAUCAAUGGCACUGGUGGCAGAAACCCAUUUUAUUUGUAAAACUAUCGCCUGUAAUUUAUCUGUAAAAUAUUAAAACAUUGUAUUCACACUUUUCAAAUGCCAGAUUCAGUUUUUUUUUAAUUUUUAAUGUUUGACUUUGGCCAUAAUUAAAUUUAAAUAGAAAUCAUCACCGCCACGCGCUACUAAUUAUUAUUCACAAAAAAUAUAUGAGUGCCUAUUUUAAAGUGAUACUUUUUAGAAUGAGGAAUAAAUGAGCAAAAUUUUACAAUUUUUAGAGUUCCUACAAAUCGCCACACUGUGAUUGUAAA